AAACUGCGAAUGGCUCAUUAAAUCAGUUAUCGUUUAUUUGAUAGUACCUUACUACAUGGAUAACCGUGGUAAUUCUAGAGCUAAUACAUGCUAAAAACCCCGACUCCGGAAGGGGUGUAUUUAUUAGAUAAAAAACCAAUGCCCUCCGGGGCUCCUUGGUGAAUCAUAAUAACUUAACGAAUCGCAUGGCCUUGCGCCGGCGAUGGUUCAUUCAAAUUUCUGCCCUAUCAACUUUCGACGGUAGGAUAGUGGCCUACCAUGGUUUCGACGGGUAACGGGGAAUUAGGGUUCGAUUCCGGAGAGGGAGCCUGAGAAACGGCUACCACAUCCAAGGAAGGCAGCAGGCGCGCAAAUUACCCAAUCCCGACACGGGGAGGUAGUGACAAUAAAUACUGAUACAGGGCUCUUUUGGGUCUUGUAAUUGGAAUGAGUACAAUUUAAAUCCCUUAACGAGGAACAAUUGGAGGGCAAGUCUGGUGCCAGCAGCCGCGGUAAUUCCAGCUCCAAUAGCGUAUAUUAAAGUUGUUGCAGUUAAAAAGCUCGUAGUUGAACCUUGGGCCUGGCUGGCCGGUCCGCCUCACCGCGUGUACUGGUCCGGCCGGGCCUUUCCUUCUGGGGAGCCGCAUGCCCUUCAUUGGGCGUGCCGGGGAUCCAGGACUUUUACUUUGAAAAAAUUAGAGUGUUCAAAGCAGGCCUUUGCUCGAAUACAUUAGCAUGGAAUAAUAGAAUAGGACGUGCGGUCCUAUUUUGUUGGUUUCUAGGACCGCCGUAAUGAUUAAUAGGGAUAGUCGGGGGCAUCCGUAUUCAAUUGUCAGAGGUGAAAUUCUUGGAUUUAUUGAAGACGAACUACUGCGAAAGCAUUUGCCAAGGAUGUUUUCAUUAAUCAGGAACGAAAGUUAGGGGAUCGAAGACGAUCAGAUACCGUCGUAGUCUUAACCAUAAACUAUGCCGACUAGGGAUCGGCGGGUGUUUCUAUUUUGACCCCGUCGGCACCUUACGAGAAAUCAAAGUUUUGG
rnacentral:rRNA from 1 species